ensembl:lncRNA
GUUUGGGGUACCUAACCGAUUGCAAGGAUUAUUACAUGCAAGUAACUGAAAGGUUUUGUUGUUUGUGAUCAAUAGCCUAUGUCUCAUGACGAGACGCGGUUGCCUGCACCGUGCGUCAGGCUCAACAUUAACAGAUGUGUGCGUGUUGAUCAGUUACAUGUUGCGGGUAGUAUCAUAUGUACGUGAAAAGGAGGGGCUACCUUUUCACAGCAGGGUAAUGCAAGUUGCAUGCGCUGUAGUGUCCUACACUGACAUUCGGCAUUGGUGAUUGAGACAGUCAAGAUUUUGAGUUGCGUGUCUCGAGUCCCAGCAAAAGCCUAUCUGGACGCUAAAAGGUUUCCAACAUCCAGUCCCUUGGCUCUACCGGAAGACUUCACCACUCUAUUGUAGCAUCAUAAGCGAGAGAUCUGAGCAACAAUGGACAAUGGACGACGGAAGGCGUGUCUGACGGAUGGGGGAGUGGUAUUUGCUGACGGAGCCACAAUCUGAUUGGCUGACGGAUCCGUUGUAGCCUGAAAAGUUAGUGUGCCUUGUUCACACUAGAUGCGUCCGUCGACGGAUGUGGACUUUUGAAAUAUCUGUUUUGUGUUCUGAAAUAAGGAGCAGUGUUGGGAACGUUACUUUAAAAAGUAAUUAGUUAUAGUUUGUCACUACUUGUUCCAAAAAGUAACUGAGUUAGUAACUGAAUUACUGAAUUACCGGGUAAAAUUACUAUUUGCGUUUCUGCAAAAAAGAAAGUUGCUAUAUGCCCAAGAAUUUGGAAUUUUCACUUUGGUUUUCACUUGGCCCUAAUGUGUGAAAUGGUUGAACUGCCCAUUCAAGGCCCUGAUAUACUUCCAACUGAAUUUUACUUCCAACUGCUUUGUUGAAAGGCUGUGGAACAUGUAAUGUUCUUAUUCAUUUAAAAAUAAAACAUGAAUAGAACUUGUGCUAGCUUCAGCUAGCUGUUUUUAAUAUUGAACUCCCUCGUCUACUUUCACUCUGUGGUACAACAUACAG